AGCUCCAGUAGCGUAUAUUAAAGUUGUUGUGGUUAAAAAGCUCGUAGUUGGAUCUCAACAGACCUGGAUCGGUUUACUUUGUGUACUACUGAUCCAGAGCUGUGCUUUUGAUGGAGGUUCAGGGGUGCUCUUAACCGAGUGUCUCUGAGUGCCAUCAGGUUUACUUUGAAAAAAUUAGAGUGCUCAAAGCAGGCUUUUCACGCUUGAAUAUUCGUGCAUGGAAUAAUAGAAUAGGAACUCGUUUCUAUUUUGUUGGUUUGCGGAAAUCGAGUUAAUGAUUAAUAGGGACAAUUGGGGGCAUUAGUAUUCAGACGACAGAGGUGAAAUUCUUGGACCGUCUGAAGACUAACUACUGCGAAAGCAUUUGCCAAGAGUGUUU
rnacentral:rRNA from 1 species